AAACACAAAAAAAAAAAAACAUAAAACUUUAUUUGUUUCUCUUGUAUCUUAGCGUAGAACAAUAAAGAAAACUUUGAUUAUCAUAUUCUAUAAGAGAUUUUGUCUAACCAAAGGCUUGAGAGAAGUGUCGAAUUACUUAAAUAUAUUUUUUAAAAGUUAACCAUUGUAAUGCCCCGACCGCUAUAUCUUCAGUGGGCCCCAUGUUUAC
rnacentral:lncRNA from 1 species